rnacentral:rRNA from 1 species
GCCUAACACAUGCAAGUCGAGCGGUAGAGAGAACCUUGCUUCUCUUGCGAGUGGCGGACGGGUGAGUAAUGCCUAGGAAUCUGCCUGGUAGUGGGGGAUAACUUUCGGAAACGGACGCUAAUACCGCAUACGUCCUACGGGAGAAAGCAGGGGACCUUCGGGCCUUGCGCUAUCAGAUGAGCCUAGGUCGGAUUAGCUAGUUGGUGAGGUAAUGGCUCACCAAGGCGACGAUCCGUAACUGGUCUGAGAGGAUGAUCAGCCACACUGGAACUGAGACACGGCCCAGACUCCUACGGGAGGCAGCAGUGGGGAAUUUUGGACAAUGGGCGAAAGCCUGAUCCAGCCAUGCCGCGUGUGUGAAGAAGGUCUUCGGAUUGUAAAGCACUUUAGGUUGGAAGGAAGGGUACUUACCUAAUACCUGAGUAUUUUGACGUUACCGACAGAAUAAGCACCGGCUAACUCUGUGCCAGCAGCCGCGGUAAUACAGAGGGUGCAAGCGUUAAUCGGAAUUACUGGGCGUAAAGCGCGCGUAGGUGGUUCGUUAAGUUGGAUGUGAAAUCCCCGGGUU